UACGUAGGGUGCAAGCGUUAAUCGGAAUUAUUGGGCGUAAAGAGAGCGUAGGCUGGUGUAUAAGUUAGAUGUGAAAUACCUGAGCUUAACUUGGGAACGGCAUUUAAAACUGUACGCCUAGAGUUUGUCAGAGGGAGGUAGAAUUCCAAGUGUAGCAGUGAAAUGCGUAGAGAUUUGGAGGAAUAUCAGUGGCGAAGGCGGCCUCCUGGGACAUGACUGACGCUGAGGUUCGAAAGCGUGGGUAGCAAACAGG
rnacentral:rRNA from 1 species